rnacentral:misc_RNA from 1 species
UUUCCGUAGGUGAACCUGCGGAAGGAUCAUUAUUGUAUAAACGAGUUGCGAGGGCUUUCGCUGACCCGAAAGGUCGUGCACGCCCGUGGGCCCUCACACACAUCCAUCUCACCCCAAUGUGCACCACCGCGUGGGUCGCCCUUUGGCUUGUUCGGCGGGGGGCUUCCGUUUUCACACAAACUUUUUAUGCAGUGUAGAAUGUAUUUUUUGUUUUUACGAUCACGCAAUCAAUACAACUUUCAACAACGGAUCUCUUGGCUCUC